rnacentral:rRNA from 1 species
CGGCGCCCCAAGUGGCAAUCGCGUUUAUUGGGCCUAAAGCGUCCGUAGCCGGACUGAUAAAUCCGCUGUGAAAUGGUUGCGCUCAACGUAACCGCGUGCAGUGGAGACUGUCAGUCUCGAGACCGGGAGGAGCAAGAGGUAUGCCGUGGGGACUGGUAAAAUGGUAUAAUCCGCGGUAGACCACCGAUGGCGAAGGCAUCUUGCCAGAACGGAUCUGACGGUGAGGGACGAAAGCCAGGGGAGCGAACCGGAUUAGAUACCCGAGUAGUCC